GGGAGUAAAGAGGAGCCUUGAAUGCCUUAUGAAUAGCUCAAGUCAAAGUUAGGUCCAGAGAGUUACUAUGGGAGGAGGUGAAGGGGUAUCCAGAACUUUCUUCGGAAACUCCGGACUACCCGCAACAUUCUACGGAAAUUUUGAAACUCUCAGAAUAGCACCAAAUUAAAAUGAUCCCAAGUGAUGUAUGUGCAUGUGCUAAAAGUGUCUCUCAUAGGUUGGUUAGAUUAUCUUGACCACCUCAUUCAAAAUAAAGUCUAGAGAUUACGCACCCCUCUUAAUAGUGUGGCGUUUCUAAACUUAAAUUCAAAUCAAAAUUAAAUUUAGUCUUCAC
rnacentral:lncRNA from 1 species